UACGUAGGGGGCAAGCGUUGUUCGGAUUUACUGGGCGUAAAGAGCGUGUAGGCGGCCAAACAGGUCCGUUGUGAAAACUGGAGGCUCAACCUCCAGACGUCGACGGAAACCGUGUGGCUAGAGUCCGGAAGAGGAGAGUGGAAUUCCUGGUGUAGCGGUGAAAUGCGCAGAUAUCAGGAAGAACACCAAUGGCGAAGGCAGCUCUCUGGGACGGUACUGACGCUGAGACGCGAAAGCGUGGGGAGCGAACAGG
rnacentral:rRNA from 1 species